GAGUUGCAAACACAAACAUAAACAUGUAGAACUGCUUCCAUUGAUAAUCACUUGGUAUUGAUCAUCACCGCCAGUAAGUAUUUCGAAUUCGUGAAAUCCAAAUCGUCGAACUGUGUAUGCUCUAGCAAUUCUCAUCCGGCUAUUGAUGGUGUUUUCAACAGUCGAUACAAAUUGCGUAGACAUUGCAGCGCCCUCCGCCCGAUGUUUUAGAAAAAUUCAACCACUCGAUGAAACGUUGC
rnacentral:lncRNA from 1 species